AGAGUUUGAUCCUGGCUCAGAACGAACGUUGGCGGCGUGGUUAAGGCAUGCAAGUCGAACGGGCCUUGUCAUUGGGUAACCGAAGGCAAGGUUAGUGGCGGACGGGUGAGUAAUACAUGAAUAACGUGCCCCGAACUCAGGCAUAGCGGCGUCCCGACUUGUCGGGACUUUGCGAAAGUGCCGGUAAUUCCUGAUGAUCCCGCAGGAUCGCAUGUUUCUGCGGGCAAAGCUCCGGCGGUUCGGGAUCGGUUCAUGGCCUAUCAGCUUGUUGGUGGGGUAACGGCCCACCAAGGCAGCGACGGGUAGCGGGCGUGAGAGCGUGGCCCGCCACAUCGGGACUGAGACACUGCCCGGACACCUACGGGUGGCUGCAGCAACGAAUAUUCCGCAAUGGGCGAAAGCCUGACGGAGCGACGCCGCGUGCAGGAUGAAGGCGCUUUGCGUCGUAAACUGCUGUCAGGGGUUAGGAUAUCUGACCAGCCCCAAAGGAAGCCUCGGCUAACUCCGUGCCAGCAGCCGCGGUAAUACGGAGGAGGCGAACGUUGUUCGGAAUCACUGGGCUUAAAGCGCGUGUAGGCGGGGUGGUAGGCGUCUUGUGAAAGCCCUCGGCUCAACCGGGGAACUGCAGGGCGAACCCUCACUCUUGAGGCAGGCAGAGGCGAGUGGAACUAUGGGUGGAGCGGUGAAAUGCGUAGAGAUCCAUAGGAACGCCGGUGGCGAAAGCGACUCGCUGGGCCUGUUCUGACGCUGAGACGCGAAAGCGUAGGUAGCAAACAGGAUUAGAUACCCUGGUAGCCUACGCCGUAAACGAUGCGCACUAGGUAUGAAAGGUUCUGACACCCUUCGUGCCGAAGCAAAAGUGUUAAGUGCGCCGCCUGGGGAGUACGGCCGCAAGGCUAAAACUCAAAGGAAUUGACGGGGGCUCACACAAGCGGUGGAGCAUGUGGAUUAACUCGAAACUACGCGAAGAACCUUACCUGGGUUUGACAUGCACGGAUGCCUCCCUGGAAACAGGGUAGGUUGCCUUCGGGUGAAACGUGCACAGGUGCUGCAUGGCUGUCGUCAGCUCGUGCUGUGAAGUGUCGGGUUAAGUCCCUUAACGAGCGAAACCCUUGUCGCUAGUUGCCAACGGUUCGGCCGGGGACUCUAGCGAGACUGCCGGCGUUAAGCCGGAGGAGGGUGGGGACGACGUCAAGUCCUCAUGGCCCUUAUGCCCAGGGUGUCACACGUGCUACAAUGGACGCUACAACGCGACGCGAUACCGCGAGGUGGAGCCAAUCGCUUAAAAGCGUCCUCAGUUCGGAUUGGAGUCUGCAACUCGACUCCAUGAAGUCGGAAUCGCUAGUAAUCGCGUAUCAGCCAUGACGCGGUGAAUGUGUUCCUGAGCCUUGUACACACCGCCCGUCAAGUCAUGGAAGCUGGGAGCGCGCGAAGUCCGCUUAGCUGAC
rnacentral:rRNA from 1 species